CGGAGAGGUUUCGAGUCCUGGACUCAAGGACGAACGCUGGACGGCGUAGCCUAAUACGAUGCAAGUCGAGCGAACCAAUAGAAGCUUGCUUUUGUGGUUAGCGGCGGACGGUGAGUAACACGUGGGUAACCUGCCUGUAAGACCGGGAUAACUCCGGGAAACCGGUGCUAAUUACCGGAUAGAUUAUCUUUCCGCCUGGAGAGAUAAGGAAGAUGGCUUUUGCCAUCACUUACAGAUGGGCCCGCGGCGCAUUAGCUAGUUGGUGAGGUAACGGCUCACCAAGGCGACGAUGCGUAGCGACCUGAGAGGGUGAUCGGCCACACUGGGACUGAGACACGGCCCAGACUCCUACGGGAGGCAGCAGUAGGGAAUCUUCCGCAAUGGACGAAAGUCUGACGGAGCAACGCCGCGUGAGCGAAGAAGGUCUUCGGAUCGUAAAGCUCUGUUGUUAGGGAAGAACAAGUAUCGGAGGAAAUGCCGGUACCUUGACGGUACCUGACGAGAAAGCCACGGCUAACUACGUG
rnacentral:rRNA from 1 species